CCUUCUCUCGAAACCCUGGAAAUCUCUCUCUCUCUCUAAACCUCGAAAUCUCCGACCUCUCUCCUCUCAGAGCUCUACCAUGGAAGCUCUCGUCUGCAAAACCCUAGGCGAUCCGACCGGCCCUCUCUCCUCAAACUCCCCAAUCUUCAUCUCCACUUCCCAUCCCAUCCCUCCCUUGAACUCUUCCACAGCUGUCAGGGUUCGGAUCAAAGCAACGAGCCUCAACUACGCCAAUUUCCUACAGAUCCUAGGAAAAUAUCAGGAAAAGCCACCGCUCCCUUUCAUUCCCGGCUCCGACUACUCUGGUGUCGUCGAAUCCGUCGGAGAUGGCGUCUCCAGGUUCAAGGUCGGCGAUCGGGUCUGCUCGUUCGCUCCUCUCGGAACUUUCGCGGGGAUGAUCGUCGCUGACGAGAAGGAACUAUUUCUAGUGCCUGAUGGAUGUGACUUGGUUGACGCUGGUGCACUUCCUGUUGCAUUCGGAACUUCACAUGUAGCACUUGUUCAUAGAGCAUGUUUGAGCUCUGGUCAGGUGUUGCUUGUUCUUGGUGCAGCUGGUGGUGUGGGGCUUUCAGCAGUUCAGAUAGGCAAGGUUUGCGGUGCCAUUGUCAUUGCUGUUGCUAGGGGUGAGGAAAAAGUUCAGUUUCUCAAGUCGUUGGGGGUUGAUCAUAUCAUAGACUCGAGUAAGGAAAACAUUAUAGAAAGUUGCAAAGGGUUCUUGAAAGCAAGAAAUUGCAAAGGGGUUGACGUUCUAUAUGACCCGGUUGGGGGCAAGCUUGCGAAGGAUAGCUUGAAGCUGCUAAAGUGGGGAGCAAAUAUUUUGGUGAUAGGAUUCGCAAGUGGAGAAGUCCCAGUCAUCCCAGCAAAUAUUACUCUGGUUAAGCAUGUCUGCUGCACUUUAGAACUGGACAGUCCAUGGACUUUUCUGGGGGAGCUAUAAAAUAAAUCAGCCGAAGGUUCUUGAAGACUCUCUUAAGGAGUUGCUUUCAUGGCUAGCAAAGGGCUUGAUAACCAUUCAUAUCUCUCAUACUUAUAGUCUAAAAGAGGCAAACCUCGCAUUCUCAGCCAUCAAAGAAAGGAAAGCCAUUGGGAAAGUCAUGAUCACUUUGGGUGAUCACAGUGCAACGAGAUCUAAGCUUUGAACUUGUCAUCAGGAAAAUCAUAUUCAAUAUAAAGGUUCUCAUUUUCUCACUUGAAUUUGCCCAUGAUAACCCUUCCACCAUGAGUAGAAAGAAUAGCUGCCGCUAUCAAUUAGGGUGGGUGUGUAGGUGUUGAUUCUUUUCUUUUGUAUGUUUCUAUGUGCAACAGCUGUGACAGUCAUAUAACAGCAAAUAAUCAUAUCAGAAUCUAUCCAUGAAAUAAGGAAUUUCAGGAUCAA